rnacentral:lncRNA from 1 species
UGGCCCUUGAAAAAAUCUCUAGCCCAAUUCAAGAUCAAGCCUUGAUGGCCCUUGGAUCGACAUCUACAAGAAGGGACUUCAAAACACAUCCCCUACACAUGACAAGCACAUGUAUACGACGCGUCUUGAAGUGGAGGCAUUUGUAGACAUCGAAAUUUCGGUAAAUAAAUGUUGACCGAUAAAUCAAAGUUUCAACGCUCAUGUAUUACAUAAAUUUUAUACGUAGCGUGUGUCUAAACA